UGCCUGACGGCAAUAGCACGAUAGAACCACCUGUUCCCAUGCCGAACACAGAAGUGAAAUGUCGUAGCGCCGAUGGUAGUGUGGCAGAUGCCAUGCGAGAGUAGGACACAGUCAGGCA
rnacentral:rRNA from 1 species